UGGGGAAUAUUGGGCAAUGGGGGGAACCCUGACCCAGCAACGCCGCGUGAGGGAAGAAGGUUUUCGGAUUGUAAACCUCUGUUCUUGGGGAAGAGGAGAAGACGGUAUCCAAGGAGGAAGCCCCGGCUAACUACGUGCCAGCAGCCGCGGUAAUACGUAGGGGGCGAGCGUUGUCCGGAAUAAUUGGGCGUAAAGGGCGCGUAGGCGGCCAGACAAGUCAGUAGUGGAAGUCCCAUUUUCAAGGUGGGGAGGGCUAUUGAAACUGUAGGGCUUGAGUGCAGGAGAGGUUAUCGGAAUUCCCGGUGUAGCGGUGAAAUGCGUAGAGAUCGGGAGGAACACCAGUGGCGAAGGCGGGUAACUGGACUGCAACUGACGCUGAGGCGCGAAAGUGUGGGGAGCAAACA
rnacentral:rRNA from 1 species